UACGAAGGGGGCUAGCGUUGCUCGGAAUCACUGGGCGUAAAGCGCACGUAGGCGGAUUGUUAAGUCAGGGGUGAAAUCCUGGAGCUCAACUCCAGAACUGCCUUUGAUACUGGCGAUCUUGAGUUCGGGAGAGGUGAGUGGAACUGCGAGUGUAGAGGUGAAAUGCGUAGAUAUCGGGAGGAACACCAGUGGCGAAGGCGACUUCCUGGCCUGUUCUUGACGCUGAGGCGCGAAAGCUAGGGUAGCAAACGGG
rnacentral:rRNA from 1 species